UUUCAAAUCGUUUCAGUAGUUUAUGGGUUAUUGAGUAAUAAAAAUGCUGAUGUAAAAAAUAAUACUAUAUAGUAAAGGUGAUAUAAAAACAAUACAUAAGAUGAUGAUACAAAACCAGUGCGUGGUUCAGACGCCGUAUAUUUUUUCUCAACAGUAUUUAUUAACGGUAGUAAUUAUAGAUGGAGAAACAACAAAAAAAAGUACUGACUUUUCUCUCGACUAACUUAUGAAUAGCCAACUUCCAUCCAGCUCCGUGAUUUGCAAUGGCAGCAUCUGCACAGUUCAUAUUGCGGGAUUGAUAAGCGACGAUUAAUCUCAAAUGUACUCCUGUCUGUAACUUGCCUCAAAUAAUGUUUUUAUAACCACUUGAAAAUUUACCGUAUGACGUCACGUUAUUCUUAGAAACGUAAUAAAUAAAACUGAAAUAAGAUGUU